GGUUCUUCUUCACUUUUCGGUUUUGCUCUUAUUUUAAUUUUCUGGUUUCGUUUUAUAAUUUUUUCUUAAUCUUUUGAAGAUGGUCACUCUAUUCUGAAACACAGGAAUUUGAUUUUCACCUCCCUUUCCGUUUGUUCUUCUUCCUCUACACAAUUAAAAUUUAUGAUUAUGUCUGGUUUGAACACAAGUCACAGGAAUAGAGCCACGUGUUUGUAAAAUUUUAGUAAAUGUUUACUCUAAGACAUUAACUUUGAGAUGGACUUUCUACUAAAAAAAUGAGAAAUGCACACAUACGAAGAAAAUAGUUUUCUGUUUGUUCUUUUAGCUAUGCAGGCCUUCACACAUUCUCUUCUUAUUCGUUGGAAUAGCUAGCAUAUUUUUUACCAGAGAUUUGGGAUUCGGCUGAAGUUCUUUGCCGGUCCACCUUUGCUAAGAGAGAGAACAAUAACAUGAACACAUGCAUAGUCAUAUUGUCACCUCUAGAAACCCAAAUGUUUGACACUAUUAGUACUUGUAUUCUUUUCAUCUUUUUUCCUUUUUCUAUUUUUACACCCCAAAUAUGGGAGAUUAUUAAUAUGGAGAUGUAGAGAUAGCAAGGAGUUUUGAGGUUUAUAGUUGGCGUGACACAAAAUAAGGUAAUCCUAGCUUGAUUCUUUGGUUGCCAGUUGGGUAAGGCGCAAUUUGAUUUUAUACAGAAGGACUUCUAAAUUCAGGUUGUUCUAUCCUCAAAGAUUCAUUCUGCAAUGUGCGGUUGUAACUGUUUGGAUUUAAUGUCUUCAAUUUUAUUAGUUGGAAUAUGAUAGCCUUGCAAUUUUGAUGGACAGAUUUUUUAAGAAAGCACAUGUACUCAAGAGGGAAAAGAUGAGCACCUCUUUAACGGUAAGAGUUCAUGGGAUCCCAUUUUUGAGGUGAAAAAGUUCCAAAAUGGGAAUAAAGAUGGUGCUCCGAAGAUAUUGGCGCUAGGAUUUGUGAUGUAUUCCUCCUCAAUUACACAUACAUUGCCACCUUUUACAACAAAACUUCAGAGGCUCAUUUGUAACUUGAAGAUUGUUCUAACAUGGAGAGGUUACUACUCAAGCUGAUAUUGAAAUCUAAUCAGUGGAAUGAGGUAUUUUAUGCAAAGACUACUCUUUUUGCCCCUGAUUUUUGGUAGUCGUGAUCGUGACCUAUUUGACAAUGUUGAACAUAAGUUUGCAAGGUCGUUAUUGUUGACAUAUAACUUCUCUCAGGUCUUUCUUCUUUGCUUCUUUGUCUGUGCAUGUGUUUGUUAUUGUGCUUUGUGUGAAUUGGUUUGUAAUUUGUUUCUUAACUCAACAUGCAAGGAAAACCAAAAGUGAAAACUGGUUGGAGUAAAAAAUAUAGAUUUAUACUGUGUGAAAUUGGUGGCACAAUUAUUCAAGGUGGGAGCUGGCAGUGGAAAGGCUGGACUAAAGGGGUGUUACAGGACAACACACUAGAGUAAUUUUUGUAAAUGUUUUCUUUCAAGGUUAUAGAGACAGGGGUUAGCAGAAAACACAAUAGUACAUUAAUUUUCUGUUGUUAAUUGUUUUUUGAUAUGGUUCCUUCAUUAGCAAUUUUUUAUCGAAAUUUUUUAUUAUAAAAGAAUUAUGAAAGUUUUAGGGAAAAACACUCUAUUUCCCUAUUUGCUUCUUCUCUAUAGAUACUGAAAAGGGAAAAGAAGUAUGAAGAUUCAAAUAACAAUGGCUAGGUGAAUGCUUGUAGUUUUUAUCUCUUUUGGAAGUUACACAUCUGUUAAAUAUCUAUUAGAACAUAUUGAGAAAGUAAAAAAGUUAAAACCAAAAUUCAAUUGGAGUUUCAAAUGUAAAAAUGAGAGAAAAUAAAACUUAAUUGGAAAUGAUAUCUUCCAUGUUUCUGUGGGUGUAGUUUAUGAUGCUAUCCUCAUAUGAUUGUAAAUGUAUGUUUUCUUAGAAACGAUUAUAUUGUAACAGAGCAUUAAAUUUGGGCAUUAAAGUUCAGUGUCAUAUAAGUCGAAAGUGAUUGAACUGUCUUUUCAAGAGGGACUUAUUUUCAUCAAAUAAAAUAUUGCAUUAGUGAAUGUAUUAUGUGCGUGAUUGUUAUAUUCUUCCCCAAUUUUCUGAGAUUUUAGCAUCUUAUUUGUUUGUAAAUUGCUCUUUAGGAUACUUUUGUCCUCUUAUUGAUUUGUCUUUGGAAGGAGACAGUAAUAGUGUAAUAUGAAUAAUAGAAAGAAAUUAUCAAUGUCUUUGACUAUAUGUGCAUUUCAAACAAGUCAAUAUUAGUCUUAUUGGUCAAAAUAUUGCUUCGUGGGUAUCUCUUUUAAUGUAUGCCUACCUAAUCUGGAACAUGACCAAGGGAUUCUUCUGAAAUCCUACUAAAGUUAUGCUACUUUAUAGGGCACUGGUUAUUGUCUAGCAAUGUAAACUUUUAAUGCACACUUGUUCUGUAGGAGCCUCUUAUCAUUUGGAUUGUGUGUCAUCUGCUAUUAACAUGUGGCCUUCCAAUAUUUUGUUCGGACUUUUCACUUUGGCUAAGCAAAUUUUGUGAAAAUUUGCUGAUUUUAGUGUAUUUUCUUUGUCGCUUAAGGAAAAAUAACAACCGCUACAGGUACACUUAUGUCAAAAAACUAUAUGAACCAUAUAACAAAUUAAUAUGGAGUCAGCUCUCUCUCUUUCUCCGGUGUGUAUAAAGAGAUCAGUCACUCGCCAUUUUACAUUGCAAGCAAUGUUUGAGUAGUUAUAAGGCAUGAAAUAUUUUGUAAUCUUUCUAUACUCUUAAGGAGCUACUCUUUUCUACUCUGUUCCACUGAAUCUUUCUGCAUCCCUCUGUCUGGUGAAUUUUUAAGUCAUUUAUUUCUUUUGGUACUCUUAACUUAGAAAUAAUUCUUUCCGCUGCAAUUUAUUCUCAUGAAUACACAAAUUUUUGAUGUGAUAUUGUCUUAGCUCUGAUCGUGAAUUCAUAAGUUCGAUAGUGUACAGUAAGGACCAGACAUAGAGGGUCUCGCUGAACCUUUGGGUACUCCUGGAAGAAAAAAUUAGAUGUAAGGAAAGUAGAGUCGCAUAUUUAGAGGUGAGUGCCGAAAUAUGGAGAAAAAAGUACAACAUACAUUAGUAACAUCCAUGUAUGGUGAUGAACCAAACAAACAUGAAACACUAACUAGAAAAUUUCAGGAGGGUAAACUACACAAAAGGCUUUAAAUAGUAUGCUCUUUCUCCAAAUUCUUUCUGGUCACCUGUCCUGGUCAAUUGCUGAAUAUUUCUUCAAAAAAAUUGUGGCUCAACUUUCUUUUGGUAUUCUUAGAUUUUAAAUUCUAAAUACAUGGCAUUACUGAAUAUUUAUGAUUCAUUUAGUUAGAAUAUAAUGAUUGCAGUUUUGAUUUCACAUUUUUUUAAAGUGGAAGUUGAUCAAGGUGGGGGAAAAGGCACAACUGCUUCGGCUCUAAGACGUAAUUUUUGCACUUGCUACUCGAGUAGUGGUAGAAGUAAGUCAGAAACGAUCAAGCAGGUUCAUUAGAACUAAUAGCAAAAGAUUGAAGGUAGAAAUAUAAUUCUUUCUAAAAGGACCUGCAGUAUGAAAUAGAGGACAAGUUAUUUACUUUCAGCUUAUUUUAGACAAAGAAAGAUGAUUUUUAUGUUAUACUUAUACUAACUUGUGAAUUUUUAAGUUAAUUUAUGGAGCAACAAACGUAAAGAGAUAUUCAAAGAAAAGAAUCAGGCAUGAACAACUGGUGGCAAACCCCUCAGUAUAACUUCUCAAUUUUAUGUAACAUAAAAAUUUAAAAACUACUAAAAUAAUUAAAAGGGACUAAAAGAUUUACCCGAGGUUUCUAAUUCCUGGUUCAUCGUGCUACCAAUUGGGCUGCAAAGCUCAAGCAUAAUUUUACAUGAGGAAAGGGGAAAGAAAAAUACAUUGGGAUUGAUAGUGUUUUGGCAUAACAUGGAAACAAGAUGUUGGUCCUAAUAUGCAGAUAGAAUCAUAAUUCAUCACAAUAAUUGAACUCUCCCUUUUAUAUUGUUCGCCUAAACCGUUGAGUUUUCCACGCGAUCACUCUUUAACUUCCCCAACAAGGUCAUUAAUUUGCAAAGGAAAAAUGAUUUAGGCCACAAUCUUAGAACAUAUGGUUAAGCUUUCUUCAACCAAGUAGUAGUAGAAUUUUUGAUAGAUAACAGAGACGAUUCAUACCUGUUUAUGCAUUAUUUAGGUAAAUUUUAUGAGCAUCAAUCAUUGGUUCUGCUAAUUAUUUCAACAGGUCUUUUUUAUUCAUUCUUGAGAGUGAACAUGCUAUGAUAUGUUUUAAUGUAUGUUGAUUGAUUAGUCCUUGAUUGUCUUUCUUACAUGUUGCCCUUUAACUACUUUCUACUGACUAUCCUGAGUAUUUCGGUUGAUUUCCACAUGAGUUCUCUAAAGAAUCAUUAAAAAUGAUAGUCGAUUCAAACCUACGAUGUCAGGCCCGCACUGUUAUUUUGUUAAUCCUUUCUUCUCUGAUUAGAAAUCAAUAUGUGCAUAUGUGUGUAAUGUAGACUCUUACACCUUUUCUGCAGCUCUUUAAGGAUAUUACAAUGACAUUGAGCUUCCAUUACUAACAUCAUAUCCUUCUGAAUGUUUAAGUUUUUCUUAUUAAGCUAUAUUGAAUGGAUAAUUAUUAUUCCUGUAAUUGGUAGACACAUAUUUGAUUAUUUUCUCCAGCUAUUAGUGUUUCCAAGAGUUUAUCUCAGCUAUCCAUGGAGUCGUCUAACUCAAAGACCCAAAGAUGAUGUUCCUUCUGCUUCUGGUCCUGAAACACCCAAAGCUGCUAAGAUAUCUUCAACUGAUUUUUUUUUGUUUGUAUUUUGUCUUUCAAGAUCUAUGGUGCUUUCCUUUCUUUUUGAAGUUUCUUCCUAAAAGUUCUGAUCACUGCCAGUAUGGUGACAGCGAAAGAGAAAUAGGAAUGGUCCAACAUCAAGUUCAGAGCAAGAUGCACCAGAAACACCAGAACGAAGGGUGGAUUUCUGGUUUAUCAGCUCUGAAAAUUUAUUUAUUUAUCUUCCUUCUAUUUAUUUAUAUAUUAUCGUAUACUAAUUUAAUUUUCUUUAUAGACAUUAAGGAGAUUUGCUCAUAAUAGAGAGGGAGCACAGGAAAUUAGACUCAAAAAGGAUAAUAAUUCUUCUAAUUUCAUUUGGAGACACCUUCUGUAGAAGUGCUUUACAGAGAUUGAAGAUCAACAAAGAGGAGCAACUCGAAACUUUCUUUUGAAAUAGUUCAUAUUUUAUGGACAUUCAAGUACUUGAUAAAACUGCCUCCAUCUUUUGAGAUUCUGCUAAAAGCUUGAAUUUUUAUAUUUCUCUUUCUUUUCUUUAUGCAAUUGGAUAAAGAUGCAAUUUUCUAUGAGAAAUAUCUUCUUGGUA